rnacentral:rRNA from 1 species
UACGAAGGGGGCUAGCGUUGUUCGGAAUUACUGGGCGUAAAGGGCGCGUAGGCGGUUCGAUAAGUCCCGUGUGAAAUCCCUCGGCUCAACUGAGGAACUGCACGGGAAACUGACGGGCUUGAGUUCGGGAGAGGGAAGCGGAAUUCCGGGUGUAGCGGUGAAAUGCGUAGAUAUCCGGAGGAACACCGGUGGCGAAGGCGGCUUCCUGGACCGACACUGACGCUGAGGCGCGAAAGCUAGGGGAGCAAACGGG